rnacentral:rRNA from 1 species
CCUACGGGAGGCAGCAGUGGGGAAUAUUGGACAAUGGGCGCAAGCCUGAUCCAGCCAUGCCGCGUGGGUGAAGAAGGCCUUCGGGUUGUAAAGCCCUUUUGUCCGGAAAGAAAAGCUCGUGGUUAAUACCCGCGGGUUCUGACGGUACCGGAAGAAUAAGCACCGGCUAACUUCGUGCCAGCAGCCGCGGUAAUACGAAGGGUGCAAGCGUUACUCGGAAUUACUGGGCGUAAAGCGUGCGUAGGUGGUGAGUUAAGUCUGUCGUGAAAUCCCCGGGCUCAACCUGGGAAUGGCGAUGGAUACUGGCUCGCUAGAGUGCGGUAGAGGAGAGUGGAAUUCCCGGUGUAGCAGUGAAAUGCGUAGAGAUCGGGAGGAACAUCAGUUGCGAAGGCGGCUCUCUGGACCAGCACUGACACUGAGGCACGAAAGCGUGGGGAGCAAACAGGAUUAGAUACCCUGGUAGUCCACGCCCUAAACGAUGCGAACUGGUUGUUGGACGGCUUGCUGUUCAGUAACGAAGCUAACGCGUGAAGUUGACCGCCUGGGGAGUACGGCCGCAAGGUUGAAACUCAAAGGGAUUGACGGGGACCCGCACAAGCGGUGGAUGAUGUGGUUUAAUUCGAUGCAACGCGAAAAACCUUACCUACCCUUGACAUGCCAGGAACUUACCAGAGAUGGUUUGGUGCUCGAAAGAGAAACCUGGACACAGGUGCUGCAUGGCCGUCGUCAGCUCGUGUCGUGAGAUGUUGGGUUAAGUCCCGCAACGAGCGCAACCCUUAUCAUUAGUUGCUACGCAAGGGCACUCUAAUGAGACUGCCGGUGACAAACCGGAGGAAGGUGGGGAUGACGUCAGGUCAUCAUGGCCCUUAUGGGUAGGGCUACACACGUCAUACAAUGGCCGGUACAGAGGGCUGCCAACCCGCGAGGGGGAGCUAAUCUCAGAAAACCGGUCGUAGUCCGGAUCGCAGUCUGCAACUCGACUGCGUGAAGUCGGAAUCGCUAGUAAUCGCGGAUCAGCUUGCCGCGGUGAAUACGUUCCCGGGUCUUGUACACACCGCCCGU